CUGGCUCAGGACGAACGCUGGCGGCGUGCCUAAUACAUGCAAGUCGAGCGGAUGAUAAAGGAGCUUGCUCCUUUAGAUUCAGCGGCGGACGGGUGAGUAACACGUGGGCAACCUGCCUGUAAGACUGGGAUAACUUCGGGAAACCGGAGCUAAUACCGGAUAACUCUUCGAACCUCAUGGUUCGAAGAUAAAAGAUGGUUUCGGCUAUCACUUACAGAUGGGCCCGCGGCGCAUUAGCUAGUUGGUGA
rnacentral:rRNA from 1 species